rnacentral:rRNA from 1 species
UACGAAGGGGGCUAGCGUUGCUCGGAAUCACUGGGCGUAAAGGGUGCGUAGGCGGGUCUUUAAGUCAGGGGUGAAAUCCCGGGGCUCAACCCCGGAACUGCCUUUGAUACUGGUAGUCUCGAGUCCGGAAGAGGUGAGUGGAAUUCCGAGUGUAGAGGUGAAAUUCGUAGAUAUUCGGAGGAACACCAGUGGCGAAGGCGGCUCACUGGUCCAUUACUGACGCUGAGGUGCGAAAGCGUGGGGAGCAAACAGG